UACGAGGGGGGCGAGCGUUGUUCGGAAUUAUUGGGCGUAAAGGGUGCGUAGGCGGUUUGGUAAGUCUUAUGUGAAAUCUACAGGCUCAACUUGUAGUCUGCAUGAGAAACUGCCGGGCUUGAGUAUGGGAGAGGUGAGUGGAAUUCCUGGUGUAGCGGUGAAAUGCGUAGAUAUCAGGAGGAACACCUGUGGCGAAAGCGGCUCACUGGACCAUAACUGACGCUGGAUGCACGAAAGCUAGGGGAGCAAACAGG
rnacentral:rRNA from 1 species